GCAGGGCUAGGAGGAGGUUCACCGCAGCCCAUCGUCGAUCAGACCUGUAAGUGUUCGACUUACGUACUUUGGUGAUUUUUUCUUUUCUUUUUUUUGUGAAAAUGCUACUUUGUUCUUUAGCGCGGCGUCGGACGUCAACCCCGACCACGUCGCCAGCCAGAGGGUGGCCGAGCCUGCUUGUGCCGCUGAGGACGCGGCGCCGCAGACCGUGGAGCAGCCUGCGGCGGCAGCCGUGCCUGAGAGCGCCGAGG
rnacentral:lncRNA from 1 species